UUACUUUACCUGGCAGGGGAAGACACCAUGAUCAAGCAGGUGGUUUUCCAGGCGAGGCUCAUCCUUUGCACUCCGGUGUGCUGACCCCUGCGAUUCCCCAAAAUGCGGGAAACUCGGACUGCAUAAUUCUGUGGUAGUGGGGGACUGGUAUCGCGCUCUCCCCUG
rnacentral:snRNA from 1 species